AUGAUCCUCAAUGACGAUGGAACCUAUGACUCCAUGAGUGAAGAGGAAAUGGAGGCCCUUGAGCAAGUGGCCAUGCACCAGCGCGUGAACAAAGAUGAAGAUGCUCAAGUCUUUUCUGAUGAGGAUUCGAGCACCGCUCUCGUUGUCUCCAAAGUCUUGACUCUUCAACAUCAACAAGACGAAGACCAAAGAUGCCACAUCUUCCACACGAAGGCCGACAUCAAUGGAAGGUCCGUCAAGGUCAUCAUCGAUGGAGGGAGUUGUCACAGCUUGGCAAGUGAAGAACUAUGCUCCAAGCUCCAAUUGGUCAAGAUGAAGCACCCGCACUCGUACAGGUUCAAUGGCUAA
rnacentral:rRNA from 1 species